ACUCCUGCGGGAGGCAGCAGUGGGGAAUAUUGCACAAUGGGCGCAAGCCUGAUGCAGCCAUGCCGCGUGUAUGAAGAAGGCCUUCGGGUUGUAAAGUACUUUCAGCGGGGAGGAAGGCGAUAAGGUUAAUAACCUUGUUGAUUGACGUUACCCGCAGAAGAAGCACCGGCUAACUCCGUGCCAGCAGCCGCGGUAAUACGGAGGGUGCAAGCGUUAAUCGGAAUUACUGGGCGUAAAGCGCACGCAGGCGGUCUGUCAAGUCGGAUGUGAAAUCCCCGGGCUCAACCUGGGAACUGCAUUCGAAACUGGCAGGCUAGAGUCUUGUAGAGGGGGGUAGAAUUCCAGGUGUAGCGGUGAAAUGCGUAGAGAUCUGGAGGAAUACCGGUGGCGAAGGCGGCCCCCUGGACAAAGACUGACGCUCAGGUGCGAAAGCGUGGGGAGCAAACAGGAUUAGAAACCCUAGUAGUCCCA
rnacentral:rRNA from 1 species